rnacentral:rRNA from 1 species
GGUUAAGCGACUAAGCGUACACGGUGGAUGCCCCGGCAGUCAGAGGCGAUGAAGGACGUGCUAAUCUGCGAUAAGCGUCGGUAAGGUGAUAUGAACCGUUAUAACCGGCGAUUUCCGAAUGGGGAAACCCAGUGUGUUUCGACACACUAUCAUUAACUGAAUCCAUAGGUUAAUGAGGGCGAACCGGGGGAACUGAAACAUCUAAGUACCCCGAGGAAAAGAAAUCAACCGAGAUUCCCCCAGUAGCGGCGAGCGAACGGGGAGGAGCCCAGAGCCUGAAUCAGUGUGUGUGUUAGUGGAAGCGUCUGGAAAGGCGCGCGAUACAGGGUGACAGCCCCGUACACAAAAAUGCACAUGCUGUGAGCUCGAUGAGUAGGGCGGGACACGUGGUAUCCUGUCUGAAUAUGGGUGACCAUCCUCCAAGGCUAAAUACUCCUGACUGACCGAUAGUGAACCAGUACCGUGAGGGAAAGGCGAAAAGAACCCCGGCGAGGGGAGUGAAAAGAACCUGAAACCGUGUACGUACAAGCAGUGGGAGCACAGAGCAAUCUGUGUGACUGCGUACCUUUGUAUAAUGGGUCAGCGACUUAUAUUCUGUAGCAAGGUUAACCGAAUAGGGGAGCCGAAGGGAAACCGAGUCUUAACUGGGCGUUAAGUUGCAGGGUAUAGACCCGAAACCCGGUGAUCUAGCCAUGGGCAGGUUGAAGGUUGGGUAACACUAACUGGAGGACCGAACCGACUAAUGUUGAAAAAUUAGCGGAUGACUUGUGGCUGGGGGUGAAAGGCCAAUCAAACCGGGAGAUAGCUGGUUCUCCCCGAAAGCUAUUUAGGUAGCGCCUCGUGAAUUCAUCUCCGGGGGUAGAGCACUGUUUCGGCAAGGGGGUCAUCCCGACUUACCAACCCGAUGCAAACUGCGAAUACCGGAGAAUGUUAUCACGGGAGACACACGGCGGGUGCUAACGUCCGUCGUGAAGAGGGAAACAACCCAGACCGCCAGCUAAGGUCCCAAAGUCAUGGUUAAGUGGGAAACGAUGUGGGAAGGCCCAGACAGCCAGGAUGUUGGCUUAGAAGCAGCCAUCAUUUAAAGAAAGCGUAAUAGCUCACUGGUCGAGUCGGCCUGCGCGGAAGAUGUAACGGGGCUAAACCAUGCACCGAAGCUGCGGCAGCGACACUGUGUGUUGUUGGGUAGGGGAGCGUUCUGUAAGCCUGUGAAGGUGUGCUGUGAGGCAUGCUGGAGGUAUCAGAAGUGCGAAUGCUGACAUAAGUAACGAUAAAGCGGGUGAAAAGCCCGCUCGCCGGAAGACCAAGGGUUCCUGUCCAACGUUAAUCGGGGCAGGGUGAGUCGACCCUAAGGCGAGGCCGAAAGGCGUAGUCGAUGGGAAACAGGUUAAUAUUCCUGUACUUGGUGUUACUGCGAAGGGGGGGACGGAGAAGGCUAUGUUGGCCGGGCGACGGUUGUCCCGGUUUAAGCGUGUAGGCUGGUUUUCCAGGCAAAUCCGGAAAAUCAAGGCUGAGGCGUGAUGACGAGGCACUACGGUGCUGAAGCAACAAAUGCCCUGCUUCCAGGAAAAGCCUCUAAGCAUCAGGUAACAUCAAAUCGUACCCCAAACCGACACAGGUGGUCAGGUAGAGAAUACCAAGGCGCUUGAGAGAACUCGGGUGAAGGAACUAGGCAAAAUGGUGCCGUAACUUCGGGAGAAGGCACGCUGAUAUGUAGGUGAAGUCCCUCGCGGAUGGAGCUGAAAUCAGUCGAAGAUACCAGCUGGCUGCAACUGUUUAUUAAAAACACAGCACUGUGCAAACACGAAAGUGGACGUAUACGGUGUGACGCCUGCCCGGUGCCGGAAGGUUAAUUGAUGGGGUCAGCGCAAGCGAAGCUCUUGAUCGAAGCCCCGGUAAACGGCGGCCGUAACUAUAACGGUCCUAAGGUAGCGAAAUUCCUUGUCGGGUAAGUUCCGACCUGCACGAAUGGCGUAAUGAUGGCCGGGCUGUCUCCACCCGAGACUCAGUGAAAUUGAACUCGCUGUGAAGAUGCAGUGUACCCGCGGCAAGACGGAAAGACCCCGUGAACCUUUACUAUAGCUUGACACUGAACAUUGAGCCUUGAUGUGUGGGAUAGGUGGGAGGCUUUGAAGUGUGGACGCCAGUCUGCAUGGAGCCGACCUUGAAAUACCACCCUUUAAUGUUUGAUGUUCUAACGUGGACCCGUGAUCCGGGUUGCGGACAGUGUCUGGUGGGUAGUUUGACUGGGGCGGUCUCCUCCUAAAGAGUAACGGAGGAGCACGAAGGUUGGCUAAUCCUGGUCGGACAUCAGGAGGUUAGUGCAAUGGCAUAAGCCAGCUUGACUGCGAGCGUGACGGCGCGAGCAGGUGCGAAAAGCAGGUCAUAGUGAUCCGGUGGUUCUGAAUGGAAGGGCCAUCGCUCAACGGAUAAAAGGUACUCCGGGGAUAACAGGCUGAUACCGCCCAAGAGUUCAUAUCGACGGCGGUGUUUGGCACCUCGAUGUCGGCUCAUCACAUCCUGGGGCUGAAGUAGGUCCCAAGGGUAUGGCUGUUCGCCAUUUAAAGUGGUACGCGAGCUGGGUUUAGAACGUCGUGAGACAGUUCGGUCCCUAUCUGCCGUGGGCGCUGGAGAACUGAGGGGGGCUGCUCCUAGUACGAGAGGACCGGAGUGGACGCAUCACUGGUGUUCGGGUUGUCAUGCCAAUGGCACUGCCCGGUAGCUAAAUGCGGAAGAGAUAAGUGCUGAAAGCAUCUAAGCACGAAACUUGCCCCGAGAUGAGUUCUCCCUGACCCUUUAAGGGUCCUGAAGGAACGUUGAAGACGACGACGUUGAUAGGCCGGGUGUGUAAGCGCAGCGAUGCGUUGAGCUAACCGGUACUAAUGAACCGUGAGGCUUAACCUU